UGAGUACGAGAUGCUACGGCAUUGAAGCAGUCUAUGUCAUACUUCCAAGAAAAGCUUGCACUGUCAUAAACAAAGAAUGCCUGUACCAUAACCGACACAGGUGGGUAGGUAGAGUAUACUAAGGGGCGCGAGAUAACUCUCUCUAAGGAACUCGGCAAAAUGACUCCGUAACUUCGGGAGAAGGAGUGCCUUAUUUCUAAGGUUGCAAUAACAAGAUCCAAGCAACUGUUUACCAAAAACACAGGUCUCCGCUAAGUCGUAAGACGAUGUAUGGGGGCUGACGCCUGCCCAGUGCCAGAAGGUUAAAGAAGUUGGUUAGCAUUAGCGAAGCUGAUAACUGAAGCCCUGGUGAACGGCGGCCGUAACAAUAACGGUCCUAAGGUAGCGAAAUUCCUUGGUCGGGUAAGUUCCGACCCGCACGAAAGGCGUAAUGAUUUGGAUACUGUCUCGGAGAGGGGCUCGGUGAAAUAGACUUGUCUGUGAAGAUGCGGACUACCUGCACCUGGACAGAAAGACCCUAUGAAGCUUUACUGUAACUUGAGAUUGAAAUUGGACUUUAUUUGCGCAGUAUAGGUGGGAGGCGUUGAGAAUAAUCUUGCGGGAUUGUUGGAGCCAUCAGUGAGAUACCACUCUUGUAAUGUUAGAUUUCUAACUUUGUAUCAUUAUCUGGUCAAAGAACAGUUUCAGGCGGGCAGUUUGACUGGGGCGGUCGCCUCCCAAAGGGUAACGGAGGCGCACAAAGGUUUCCUCUGAACGGGUAGAAAUCGUAUCUAGAGUGUAAAGGCAUAAGGAAGCUUGACUGUGAGACCUACAAGUCGAGCAGGGACGAAAGUCGGUCUUAGUGAUCUGACGGUGCUGAGUGGAAAGGCCGUCACUCAACGGAUAAAAGUUACUCUAAGGAUAACAGGCUGAUCUCCCCCAAGAGUUCACAUCGACGGGGAGGUUUGGCACCUCGAUGUCGGCUCAUCGCAUCCUGGGGCGGUAGUCCGUCCCAAGGGUUGGGCUGUUCGCCCAUGAAAGCGGUACGCGAGCUGGGUUCAGAACGUCGUGAGACAGUUCGGUCCAUAUCCGGUGUAGGCGUUAGAAUAUUGAGAGGAGCCUUCUCUAGUACGAGAGGACCGAGAAGGACAUACCUCUGGUGUACCAGUUAUCGUGCCAACGGUAAACGCUGGGUAGCUAUGUAUGGAGUGGAUAACCGCUGAAAGCAUCUAAGUGGGAAGCCCACCUCAAGAUAAGUAUUCUCA
rnacentral:rRNA from 1 species